UCUGAAGUUAGGUUAAAUGGAGGUGGGAAGUUUUCUCUCUCUGGUGGCCGUUCUCCUCAAUCGCACCAUCUCCGACAUUGCUCCAUUAGUUGAUGCUAGCAGCUAGAGGAGAUUAGAGAGAGAAGAGGUCAUUUCAGGAAUUCAGGGGUAACGGCGAAGACGAAGAAUGAACUACUUUCUUCUUGUUCAUGGCGAGGGGAAGAAGAUGAUAAGUUUAAAAACGCAAAAAUUAAGAAACUACUGGAAUUAUAAUGAGAGAAGAAGAAUGAAUAUCACAAUCCUCUUCCAACAACAGCUACCAUCAUCAUCUCGCUAGCACAACUUACAGCUCCCUCUCUUCCAACAACAGUAGUAGUACCCAUUUCUCUCUUGCUUUAUUUUAUUAGCCAUAAUCUCUAAUUAAUUAUUAAUGAUGAUAUUAAACAGACCCUUGUAGUAAACAAGAAUAAAAGUUUCAUAGAUAUAUUAAAAUCUGCAAAAAUCUCCCCACGAUGAAUAUGG